rfam:Brachypodium distachyon strain Bd21 chromosome 3, whole genome shotgun sequence.
AACAUAUCCCUCCGUCCUACAAAGGAUGUCGCAACUUUGACCAAAUUUGAAUGCAUCUGUACACUAAGUCAUGUCUAGAUACAUCCAAAUUUUGACAAACUUGAGACAUCUUUUGUUGGACAGAGGGAGUACUAA